GGAAGAUAGUUGUGGCAAACUUUAGUGCAUCUUGGUGUGGCCCAUGCAAAUUAAUUACACCUUUCUUUGUUGAGCAAUCACUGAAGUAUCUUUCACUUGUUUUCUUGACAAUAGAUGUCGAUCAGUUAAUUGAUUUCAGCUCGUCGUGGGACAUCCGUGCAACUCCAACAUUCUUCUUCCUAAAAGACGGGCAGCAAAUAGAUAAGAUCGUGGGUGCCAACAAGCCUGAA
rnacentral:misc_RNA from 1 species